UUCAGUUGCCCAAAACAUGUACUAAUGAGGUUCAUCUCAGACUCUCAGGCAUCUCUCUAAAAGUUGUGAUCACAAAUUCCAACCCUUUUAAAGCCGAUCGAAGUCCUUCCAUACUCUCUGAAUGUAUCUGUGGUUUAGAUUUUAGAGAGAGAAGUUCGAAUUCCGCAUAUUUGUUCUCGAAGCUCUUCUUCUACUCAACGAAACAAGUCUUGAGUGAAAUCUCAGAUUGAUAGAUAGACCUUGUUAUUCAAACUUUAAUGUUACCCAAAUCAAAAAAGAAAGACACUUACUAAUGCAAACCCUACCGGUGAUCAAUAGCAAAGUUCUCUGAAUUCACUUGCUAACUUGCUCAGGAAACAAGUCUUGAGUGAAAUCUGAGUUUGAUACAUGGAUUUUGUUAUUCAAACUCAAAAGCCAUGAAUGUUGCCCAAAUUAGAAAUGCACCCCCCACAAGUGUUGGCACCAAAGAUGUCUAAUGCUCAAGGAACGUGUACUGGAGCUAAGAUUGUCACCACAUUCGCUCUGCCUAAAAGGAAAUCUUGAAGGUACUGAAUACUUGUCGAAGCCACCGACAAACAAAGGGAAAGAAGAUGGAAGCAUCGGUAAGGAAGAUAAAAAAGCUGACAGCUCCAACAGGAUUGCUGAAGAAGUAUAUGCACAACAACCUAAAUCGGUGGUCCAUUUUGUUGCCUAUCCAGAUUUCUAUGACUUCGACAGGGAUAUAAGAGUGAAGAAUGCUUUGCAUUUGAUCAGACGUGGGCCAGAUUGAUAUACGUACAUUCUCCCAUAAGAUUUCUUUGAAAAGAAGUGUUAAGAAGAGUUAUAAGAUCUAUCCCCCAGAAAGGGAAAACUUGGGCCCUUUACAAGAAUCGGAACCUUAAAUGGAUCUCUGAUUUCGGCAACCAUAGAGGGUAUGAAUAUGAAUUUGUUGUAGUCUUGUCAGAUUACAGUAAGAAAUCAGGCAUUUUGGUUGCCCAUUUGGUCAAGUUAAAAGGUUUUGUAUGCCUGUUUAAACCAACUAAAAAAAAAUGGCGCCAUGGCUUCCUUUCAGAUACCAUCCAACGAAAGGUUAAGAUUUUCUCACAGGGUUCCUUCAUUUAGAACGAACAGCUAAGAACGAGAAGACGUUCCAGAAGGUUAUUUUGAACUCGAUAACUGUUCCCUGCCCAGUAACCUUGAAGAAAUUUCUGAAACUGUUGAUGGUGAUAUGAAUGGUUCGUUAAAGUCUGUAUUAAAGGAGAAGCAUCCUAUGCCAAUGAAGAGAAAAACUUCUGAUGUAGAGAGUACUUCGGAUGGGAGUUACCCAGGUGGAAAUAAGUCUUUUAGGAUUUCAAAUGGAUGUUAUAAGAACUUAAGCGGGCAGUAGAAGCUUCUGGUCGACCUCUGGAUAAGAAUAAGGCUACCAGUAUUUCAGACAGCGAGAAAGAUGCUGGUGCUCACUCUAAGGAAAUGACUCCAGAUGGUGAGUGCCAUACCUGGCAGUGCUCCCCUCUUCACCUUCUUCCUUGAAGAUUUUUAAAAUGCUAGAUACAGAAUUCUACAACUUUAACAAAGAGCAAUCCCGUGAACAGUUUAAGACUGGCCAGCUAUGGGCUCUAUAUUGCGAAUUGGAUCCAAAAUCUAUGCUCGGAUAUAAAGUGGCUUAAAUCUUGCCAUACACCGAGAGACAUUAUUUCAUGGGUUGACAAGGAGAUGCCAGUAAGCUGUGGAACAUUUAAGGUCACAUCUAUUGAAGUUGUUAUAAUUAAUAAUGCCAUCCUUUCUCUGAUCAGUUAAGUGAAGUACCAGCUGAUAAUAACGUGUACACAACCAAGGGCAGGGGAAGUGUGGGCAUUAUACAGUAAAUUUAGCUCUGGCUUGACUCUACUGCGGUUUUGCAAAGAGGGCUAAAGAAAAAGAGGGACUUGACUCUACUGCGGCUAUACCGUGGAUUGAAUUGUAUAGAUUCUCUCAUCUUUCAUGUUGUCAGGAGCAAGGUGUGGGCAGUUGCGUGGAUGCUGGGAGCUUGAUCCUAGAUCAUUGGCAGUUUAUCAGUACUCGACGAACUGAAGAUGAGCAGGUUGGUGUAGGUUUUAUCCAGUCCGACAGUCUAUUCCGGAAGAGGAACCAUUCAUAAAGGUUGAAACUACAAUCUACUUUUUGAUUUUCACCAAUGGGAGAAUGUCCCUUCAAACACUGGAGAGCUACAAACUGGUUGUUUGACUGGCAGAAGCUUCUAUUGUAAUGUGCCUUUGUAAAGUGGACAUUGUAAUCGUUUAAGAAUUCAGAGAAGGCACUUGAACUUUCUACAUGCACCUUUGUUCUUUUAUGCCACAAAGAUGGCUGUUAUAUUCUUUACAAAUUUCC